GGAGUUGUGGCUCAGUGGCAGAGCACUUGCCUAGCAUGCAUGAGGCACUGAGUUCGAUCCCCAGCACCA
rnacentral:tRNA from 2 species